rnacentral:rRNA from 1 species
UACAGGGGGGGCAAGCGUUGUUCGGAAUUACUGGGCGUAAAGGGCUCGUAGGUGGCCAACUAAGUCAGACGUGAAAUCCCUCAGCUUAACUGGGGAACUGCGUCUGAUACUGGAUGGCUUGAGUUUGGGAGAGGGAUGCGGAAUUCCAGGUGUAGCGGUGAAAUGCGUAGAUAUCUGGAGGAACACCGGUGGCGAAGGCGACGUGCUGGGCUGCAUCUGACGCUGAGGUGCGAAAGUGUGGGGAGCAAACGGG